GACGAACGCUGGCGGCGUGCUUAACACAUGCAAGUCGAACGCUGAAGCACCAGCUUGCUGGUGUGGAUGAGUGGCGAACGGGUGAGUAAUACGUGAGUAACCUGCCCUUGGCUCUGGGAUAAGCCCGGGAAACUGGGUCUAAUACUGGAUGCUACAUGUCACCGCAUGGUGGUGUGUGGAAAGGGUUUACUGGUCUUGGAUGGGCUCACGGCCUAUCAGCUUGUUGGUGAGGUAAUGGCUCACCAAGGCGACGACGGGUAGCCGGCCUGAGAGGGUGACCGGCCACACUGGGACUGAGACACGGCCCAGACUCCUACGGGAGGCAGCAGUGGGGAAUAUUGCACAAUGGGCGAAAGCCUGAUGCAGCGACGCCGCGUGAGGGAUGACGGCCUUCGGGUUGUAAACCUCUUUCAGCAGGGAAGAAGCCACAAGUGACGGUACCUGCAGAAGAAGCGCCAGCUAACUACGUGCCAGCAGCCGCAGUAA
rnacentral:rRNA from 1 species